rnacentral:rRNA from 1 species
UGUCUUGUAAUUGGAAUGAUAGAAAUUUAAACACUUUUUAAAGUAUCAAUUGGAGGGCAAGUCUGGUGCCAGCAGCCGCGGUAAUUCCAGCUCCAAUAGCGUAUAUUAAAAUUGUUGCAGUUAAAAAGCUCGUAGUUGAAUUUCUGCUAAAAAUAACCGGUCUGCUUUUUUAUGAAAGUGGUAUCUUGGUGUGUUUUUAGCAAUAAUGUCCUUUGAAAUGGUUUUUACUUUAUUGUAAAAAGCAAUAUUCAGGAUUUUUACUUUGAGAAAAUUAGAGUGUUUCAAGCAGGCUUACGUUUUGAAUACUGCAGCAUGGAAUAAUAAAAUAGGAUUUUAGUUCUACUUUGUUGGUUUAAAGAACUAAAUUAAUGAUUGAUAGGGACAGUUGGGGGCAUUUGUAUUUAACUGUCAGAGGUGAAAUUCUUAGAUUUGUUAAAGACAAACUACUGCGAAAGCAUUUGCCAAAGAUGUUUUCAUUAAUCAAGAACGAAA